rnacentral:rRNA from 1 species
UACAGAGGUCUCAAGCGUUGUUCGGAUUCAUUGGGCGUAAAGGGUGUGUAGGUGGCGCCGUAAGUCGGGUGUGAAAUCUCGAAGCUUAACUCCGAAACUGCAUUCGAUACUGCGGUGCUUGAGGACUGGAGAGGAGACUGGAAUUCAUGGUGUAGCAGUGAAAUGCGUAGAGAUCAUGAGGAAGACCAGUGGCGAAGGCGGGUCUCUGGACAGUUCCUGACACUGAGGCACGAAGGCCAGGGGAGCAAACGGG